GCCCAGGUGGUGAAAUUGGUAGACACGCCAGUCUUAGGAACUGGUCCCGCAAGGGAUGGAGGUUCGAUUCCUCUCCUGGGCA
rnacentral:tRNA from 1 species